UACGUAGGGCGCAAGCGUUGUCCGGAAUUAUUGGGCGUAAAGAGCUCGUAGGCGGUCUGUCGCGUCUGCCGUGAAAACCCGAGGCUUAACCUCGUGGCUUGCGGUGGAUACGGGCAGACUAGAGGUAGGUAGGGGAGAAUGGAAUUCCCGGUGUAGCGGUGAAAUGCGCAGAUAUCAGGAGGAACACCGGUGGCGAAGGCGGUUCUCUGGGCAUUACCUGACGCUGAGGAGCGAAAGUGUGGGGAGCGAACAGG
rnacentral:rRNA from 1 species